GCGUGUGCAGAUGAACGGACUGGAUUUACUCGCGAGCGCCAGGUUGUUUGCUGUUUGAAUACUACAGUAUGUCGUUUUGCUUUAUUUUAUUGUAAUCAAACCAAGGAGACCACGAUGCCUUUCCAGGAUAUUGAUGAAAACGUGCUUUGAUAAUAAUAUAAACCGAAGCUAUUCUCAUAGAAAUCUCCUCCCCAAACAAACAAACGUGCGUCCAUGUGAGUCCUCUUACUUCCCGCGAAUAAAAGGAACAGCUCGUUCCGUAUUUUGCUUUUCGCCGAUGGAAAGCUCUGAAUAACAAAGACAUGUUUGAGAGCAGCAGCGCCAGGCUUGGCUGAGUGGUGACGUCAAGGAACAAUGACUCUUCCAACAGUGCCGAGACACCGCGCGCAUCUACUGCCUCCUCAGCCAAUGCUGCACGACUGAACUGACCAGGGGGAGGCCGCGCGAGCGUCUAGUAGUGCAUCAGAUAGAAUCACUCACUGCACACGCUGCGCUGCCUCACACCACCAGAACAAAAUUCCAGCAUGCCUGUCUGUGUGACUUAUGUCCUAAAAUAUGGAGAUAUGCAAAUGCCCUGCCUGGGAUUUUACAGCUCGUAAUUUCUUUCCUCCUGACAGGAGCAAAGCAAAGUACUCAAUAUAUGACAAGAGGUAUCGUUGUUUUUAAUACAGGCAGAUUUGGAGUGCUAACACAAGCUUCUAUGUAAUAUUCCCAUUUGUCUGCUAAUUAAAAUAGUUUAUAAAUCUGCAAUGAAUCCCUGAAGUGUGUAAAUUAGUGUCAAGUACAAAGAGUGCUGUUGAAGCAAUCUGCAUCACUGCUUGUAAUGUAACACUAAUAGAAAACGCGAACAUUUUAAAAUGAAUUUAUUCACAUGUAGGCUACUAUAAUUAUUAUGCCAUUCCCAUGACCACCACCAUUUCAUUUUAAACAUUUAGAUUCAAUAUAGAAAUCAUUUUAAUUCAAAAUAAAACAUAUUGAAAUUA